UACAGGGCCAUUGAGCUGUACCAUGGCAGGAUAAGAUGGCUGAACCAAGGAAGUAUGAAGGUGUUUGGGCUGGUGAAGGGGUCCAGAGUAGGGGUCAUAGUUGACACCUCAGAUGUUAACUGCACCAAGGACAGACUGCCAGAUCUACAGAGGAACCUCCUGUCUCUGAUAGAAGAGCAGCUCAGCUGUAAGAGUCAGCUGUACCUGAUGUCCUGUGGUACUGAGACCAGCAGCCUU